ensembl:lncRNA
GUUGGGGAUUGAGGGGAAGGAUCUUUUUCUCGGGCUUGGGGCCGGAGGGCAAGGGACUCUUCCUCGGCGUUGGUGCCGGAGGGGAAGGGGCUUUUCCUCAGGGUUGCGGCCAGAGGGGAAGGGGCUUUUCCUCAGGGUUGCGGCCAGAGGGGAAGGGGCUUUUCCUCAGGGUUGGGGCCGGAGGGAAGGGGCUUUUCCUCAGGGUUAGGGCUGGAGGGGAAGGGGCUUCUCCUCAGGGUUGGGGCCGGAGGGGAAUGGGUU